GAUGAAGAACGUAGCAAAAUGCGAUAAGUAAUGUGAAUUGUAGAAUUCAGUGAAUCAUCGAAUCUUUGAACGCACAUUGCGCCCGCUGGUAUUCCGGCGGGCAUGCCUGUUCGAGCGUCAUUUCAACCCUCAAGCCCCCGGGUUUGGUGUUGGGGAUCGGCUCUGCCCUUCUGGGCGGUGCCGCCCCCGAAAUACAUUGGCGGUCUCGCUGCAGCCUCCAUUGCGUAGUAGCUAACACCUCGCAACUGGAACGCGGCGCGGCCAUGCCGUAAAACCCCAACUUCUGAAUGUUGACCUCGGAUCAGGUAGGAAUACCCGCUGAACUUAAGCAUAUCAAUAAGCGGAGGA
rnacentral:misc_RNA from 1 species